rnacentral:rRNA from 1 species
AGGUGCGAUCAUACCGGCGUUAAUGCACCGGAUCCCAUCAGAACUUCGCAGUUAAUUAUGUAACGAACCGCCUCGUUACGACAACCAUUCUCGUGCUAGGUGCAAUUU